rnacentral:lncRNA from 1 species
GGGUCUCUCUCCUCUCCACUCUUUGUCCCCCUCAGGUACAUUAUUUUCCUGCUUGAAGAUCGUUUUCCUUGGUGUGUCUCUGUUAGAUCACGAGUUCAAGGAAUGCUUAAAUGAGCCCAUCCUUACGUUCCUGGCUGUCAAAGGCGGGUACCUGCACACCUUGUUUCAGGCUCCAGAAAGGGCAAAGUUGCAGGGCUGUGCUCACCUUGUGCUUGGCAGUGAACGGGAUGGAGACCGUCGGCCCAGACUUCCCAGCUCCCUACUCACGGCAUUAGUGAAGAUCACUUCCAAGCCAAGAAGCCACUUCAAGCCAAGAAGUCUUGGGAAGGAGGUGAGAAUUCAGACGGUGGAAUAAGCCCCUUCGGGCAGCAGUGUGAAAAGAAUGGGAUCGCAGAACUUUCCUGAGCAACGAGGAAAUCUUUCUCCUGUUAUUUAUGCACACUGCUUCACUGUUCCUUCUUUCUUUCUUGUCAUACAACAGAAAUAAUGAUCUUGGUGCUGGACUGAGUACCACGCCAGGACAAUUAAUCACCCGCUGAGUCAUUUAUUUCCUCAUACUCUCUUCCACCAGGACCAUUAUCCUGUAGGUAAACAGAGGUGCCAGUAAAUCACGGGCAGAACACAAGUCAGUGGGAGAAUAGUUGAUUAAGCGUCUCCAUAACUUACAGUUACAUAGCACCUCUCAUCCCAAAGGAUCUCCAAGCACCAGACAGACUGAUGCCUGCGCCACUACCCAGCCCCUAUAGAUGUCACUUUCCACUCCAUUGCCUUGGGGGAGGGGGAAUGUUUAUUGCACUUGUCAUAUAGUUACCCUGGAAGGCAGGAGGCAAAGAGAGGAGCUUUUCACUUCCUCGUCCUUUCAGGGAGCAGAAAUCAACUACCUCGGCAGGAACCCAGCAGCAGUCAGAGGGUAACCUACCCGCCCUCUUGGGCCAAAUUUCUUCGGUUUAGGAAAUGCUGUAAAUGCUAGAAAAUUCCACGUUUGUUCUUCCGAAGGGGUGACAGCAGGGCAGCCGUCGAAACUGAGCGGUGAGCUAGGACAAGAUCUAAAGUCAGUGUUACCAGGGCAGAAAUGUUUUAGGAUCUGCUAGAAUCGUAGUCUAGGGGAGGGAAGCACUCAAAGGAGGGAUCACUUGCCAUGAUCCUUUAGAACUUUUCAUGAUAACUUUGCUCUUUAUUUUAUUUAUUUGUUUAAAGAUUCAUUUAUUUAUUAGAGUGUGCAAGUGUGCCUGCUGUGCGAGUUGGGGAGCAGAGGGAGAGAGAGAGAGAGAGAAGAGUCCCUGCUGAGCGGGGAGCCUGCCAGGGGGGGUUCAGACUCAUCAC